AACGUAGGAGGCAAGCGUUAUCCGGAGUUACUGGGCGUAAAGAGUGCGUAGGCGGGCCUGUAAGUGGGUGGUGAAAGCGCUCGGCUAAACCGGGGCGAGGUUCAUUCAGACUGCAGGUCUAGAGGCGGAUAGAGGGGUGCGGAAUUCCGGGUGUAGCGGUGAAAUGUGUAGAGAUCCGGAGGAACACCAGUGGUGCAAACGGCGCCCUGGGUCCGAACUGACGCUGAAGCACGAAAGCGUGGGGAGCGAACGGG
rnacentral:rRNA from 1 species